rnacentral:lncRNA from 1 species
CUAGGAACAUCUGUAUUUAACAAUGUCCAAAGUUCAGGAAAGUACAGAGGGAAAAAGUGAGAAGGACAACUUACUACAAAUAAAAUGGUAAGUGAAUCGCUUUUAUUUGUUUUCUAUAGCUGAUGCCUUAGGAAGUUGAACAAGAAACUGUACACCGGUUGGAUAAUUAAAAUGGCACAUUGGCAGAAGAUGGUUUCCCUUGUGUCUGAUACAUAGCAUUUAUGAAUGAAAGUGCUCAGCAUCCCAGUGGUUCUCCUUUUGAACUAGCUCAUCCAUUACUAGGGUAAUGAUUUUCCGUCUGGGCAACAGCAAAGCCAAAGGCCUAUUACACAGGCAACAUAAAGUUAAAAAGACAUUAUGAAUAAAACGUUGGCUCAUUCCGGCUUUUGCCAACCCUUCUCCAGAGAAGAUUGCCCGAUGCUGACACGUGUUUAUUACACUUAAUAAUGUUUACAUAAUUCUUCUUUGAGCUCAUUAGAGCUGUCAGAUCAGAAGUAAAUGUAUUCCCCCCUCUGUUUAUCUCUAAAGACUUCACAGUCAAUAAAGCAAGAUUAAUGACAUCCAGGGUGCAGACAAGUACACUUGAGCUUUGCAAACACUGCCAAGUUAAACCCUCAGCCAGGGUGGGCUCGUGGGUCUCAGGACUGAGGGAGCAUGCAUCUCAUCAGCCACUUAGUUCUCUCAGCAGUGUCUCUCCAAUUUUAUUGUGCUUGGAGUCUCCCUGAGAGCUUCUUAAAGUACACGAUGCUAGGCUCCAUCCCCAGGGAUUUAGGUUCAUUAGAUCUGGAGUAGGGCCCAGAAAUGUGCAUUUCUAGCAAGCCCCCAGGUGAUGCUGAUGCUGCAGGUGCAUGGAACACAGAGUAGUCCUUUUCUGGAGUUCAUUUCCAAUGGUCUUUUUUGUUGGAGAGGAGGGCGGCUGUACCCCUCGGCAAUUUGGGACAUCCUAGCUGGCCUGUGGCAUGCAUCAGCCACAGCGGUGAAGACGGCAGGGGCAGCAACCAGAGCAGCAGCAGUGGCAGCAGUGGCAGCAGUAGCAGCCGCGGCCGUCGCCUCCGGCUCAGCUCACGCGGAAACCCCACUGGGCCAUCGUGGCUCUGCGCGGUUGCGGGCCGGCGUGGAGAGGCGGGACGUGGCGCCCGGGGGCGGGGCCUGGCGCCCGGGGGCGGGGCGCAGCGAGCCGGGCUCCUGCUGUCUGCUCUCGGCGGCGGCGGCAGGGGCUGAGGGCACAGCCAGCGGGCGGCGCGCCGCGGACUCCCAGGCAGCCCGCCGAAAGGUAUAAGGAACACUUUCUCUCAACCAUCGACAUUUUAAAGAAGAUGAAGCUUUGGAAAGGUCUUUAGACAUAGCCGGGAGCUUUGUUCACACUCCCGACAUUGCUGUCCGGUAAGUUUUUUGCAGUGAUUGAAAUGUUAUGCAAGGUUGGAUUGUUUGGCUUUUAGAGCCACACUAGCCAAUCAAUAUGGUCGCCACAGUCACAUGUGGCUAUUGAGUGGUGACUUGAAAUGUGGCUAGUUUGACUCAGGCAGUGAGUUUUAAGUCGUAUUUAAUUUUAAUUGAGUUGAAAUGAGAUCCUGAAAUAGAUUGAGACACAAAUGUUCUUGGACUUCAUUUGCAGUGAGUAGCAUAGGGAUUUGGGGUUAGAAUCUGUAUCAUGAAUAUCAGUUUCUCUGUUGAAAUUAAAUCCUGGCUGUCAUGGUGCAAAGUAGCAUGGGUUGAUAAUUCUAAUUAUAUCUCCCUGAUGUUAGUUGCUCAGUAAAUGAUAGUUGCUAUUGUUACUGUCAUUGGUAAAAUUAACAUUACUGUUUUUUGGGUUUUUGUUUACUCAGGAAGAAUUCCUGAGCACCUACUUAUAAUCCUCCAGACACUGUAUUUGGUAUUGGGGAAUGCACGCGAAAAGAGCUCAGAUAAAAUCCCUGCCUUCAUAGAGCUUCCAUCCCAGUGAAUUAUCAUUAUGCUAUUUUAAUUAAAUGAUUUAAUGGGAUGCAAAUUUGUUCAUGCCAAACUGAGAUGCAGAAAGAGAAUACAUACAUUUAAUUUUUCUAUAAUUUGUUCUAAUACCCCUCCCCUAAUAUACAGGAUGAGGGAAAGGUGAGACUUAAACACUUAAUUCACAAUUCAAUUCUAUCCAGCAGUAUUGUCUAAGUCCAAUGCAAUAAUUUUUAAACAGUUUUAUUUGGAGGGUAACUUAAACUCAGCUUCCUUAGGUAAAAAUACUUAAUCUCUUGUAUUUUUGUCUUCUUGUUGCUAAACUUUCUUAGGUGAUGUCUGAGUGUCUGGAAGAGGCGUGUAGCUAAUGUGACCUUAGGGCAGAAGGAAAACCUGGGGAAUCUUGGCUCUGUCUUGGGCAUUCUUUGCUGCUCUCUGGGUCCUGGCCAGCCACUCCUUCGAUGAUGUCGUGUGUCUGCCUCAUCACUGCAGGGCAUCUGCUGGCAUGUGUGGUCAGAUGACAUCUGCAGCUGGUGGGGCUUGUGGCCUGGGCACUCUCUCAGCUUGGUCGGGGCCCAGCUGCUCUUUCUGGCUGACUUGGC